CUCUUAUCCAGAGCAGGCGGAGGGACUGGCCCUACGAUGCCCGGCAACCGGUUUUCAUGAAUCUAUGAUCACACGGUGCUAAUUCCUACAGGAAAACAUCCUGAGAGAUAAGAG
rnacentral:ncRNA from 2 species